rnacentral:sRNA from 1 species
UCCUAGCCCCGAUAGAAGUGGAAAUCCUUUUGUGGCACUUCUUUAGCGGCGCAAAAGAUUGAAACGUCCCGAAGCUUCGGGAGCGGGA